GAGGAUCUCAUGUAUCCGAGUGGAAACACUUACAUUAAUUGUAAUACAACAUCAGUUGAAAUUGGGACACAGACACAAAGAGAAAACAAUGUCAUGUGAAGACAGAGGCAAAGAGUGGAGUGACAGAUGUACAAGCGAAGAACCUCAAGAGCGCCGGCAGUUACCAGAAGCUUAGAGUUAGGGAAGGAUCAUCAUCUGAAGCAAGUCCUGGCCUGUCAACAUGUUGAUUUCAGACUACUAGACUCCAGAAAAGUAAGAUAAAAAAUCUUUAAUAUUUGAAGGUGCCCAAUUUGUGGUAAUUUGUUCCUGCAGCCUGAGCAAACUAACAAGCUCACUUUCAGUUCAAUUUCAUGGAAGAAUAGAACAAUCUUUUGGUCCCAUAACACAACUCCUCAGUGGAGAACUCUGAGUGAU
rnacentral:lncRNA from 1 species